UUGAAACACACUUGGAUAUUGUUAUAUAUUUAGCUGUGGCUUCAAAUUAUUUUUUAAAUUCAAAGAUAAUUUCAAUGAUUGAAGUGCAAAGUGAUAAAUUUCUGGGAACAAUAUUUUUUAUUAAACAUUAUGUCUACAGAUGAACCACAACAAAUACCGGAUAAACCUAUCGUGUGAUGUAAUUGAUGAAUUCUAUUCUCACCAACGUUCGAUUGCAAGUAGAGUGACCUUUAUGAUUUUACAAUGAAUCAGUUCCGUACUCUCUCACAAUAUUUCAACCGCAUGGUUACAUCUGUAGCCAAAGUCAUGUUGGUGAUGAAACGAAGGAUAUUACAUAGACAUUUGCUAUUUGUAUAUCAAUGUAUUUUAAUGACCUC